UUUUUUUUUUUAAACCAAGGCUUAAUAUUGAUUGAGCGUGGCGGAAAUUACGGCUUGGUAAAGCGCCUUCUGUUAACUGGAAAUAGUAAAUUAUUAGGUAUGGUCACCAGAAAAAAAUCCGGCUCCCCGUGCAAGUCUUCCUGCAUGUGCCUGAUUCCUCACACACUAACACGCACGCACACUCUCACACUCUGUCUCCUACGUACGCACACGGGCUUUUUCUUGGAGGAAAAGCCAUUUUCAGAGGGCUCCGCUCUGCCUUGCAACUGGAAGGUGCAGCAGCACGUAUCCAGGCCAGAUAGGCUGAGCAGAGAAGCACAGAAAGGCAUAACCAUUGCGAGCUGGUUUGAACUAUUUUAUUUCUGACCUUGCCAAAACCAUCUGGCAUGUGAUUGCAGGGCUAUUGAUCCGAAUCUGUGAGCUGCUGGACCCCAUGCUAAUCUGGUGCGUUACUGGCCAUCAGCCUCGCCGCCGAACUGCGCCUGCCCACGCGGCCCCAGACACCUCCCCGCGUCCCCUUUCCCCGGCAGAAGCAUCUGUUCAGGGAGAGAAAAUGUCACCUUUUUGAUAGGAUCAGUGAGAGUUCGUUCUGGUUUGAACACUGGUGAGAAAAACUCCAAAAAGGGCCAAUGCGGAGAGUGGUACAGUGUGCGGUGCACGGUGCGAGGUGCAUGGCGUGCAGCGGUGCACAGUGCACGGUGUGCGGUGCACGGUGUGAGGUGCAUGGCGUGCAGCGGUGCACAGUGCACGGUGUGCGGUGCACGGUGUGAGGUGCAUGGCGUGCAGCGGUGCACAGUGCACGGUGUGCGGUGCACGGUGUGUGGUGCAUGGUGUGAGGUGCGUGGUGUGCGGCGCAUGGUGUACGGUGCAUGGUGUGCAGUGCACGGUGUGCAGUGUGUGGUGCACAGUGCACGGUGUGCGGUGCACGGUGUGCGGUGGCGCGUGGUGGGUGGUGUGUGGUGCAUGGUGUGAGGUGCGUGGUGUGCGGCGCGCGGUGUAAGGCGUGUGCAAGGUGUGUUCUUCCUAGGUAAGAAGCCAUUCGUUACCAGACCCCUCUCCAGGGCACCCUGAGUGUCUUUACAAGCACGUUGUGUGCGAUAACACCCUGUGCGCCUGUCCUCAGAUUUCCUCCCUGGAUCCCUGUAUUUUCUGACCCAUCCAUCCCCAGCCUGCCGGCCCCGUGGGGCUCACAGCGCUUUCCAGGCUGGCUGUCGGCAGGAACCACGGUGGUAUAAAAUUAAGUUCUCAAGUUCUCCCCCCUCACCCCAGCCACUCCUUCCGUUGGCAGCCGGCAGCAGAAGAGAGAAAGAAAAUAAAAGGAAGAAGAAAAGGAAAGCCCUGGCGUGA
rnacentral:lncRNA from 1 species